CGUUUUUUAGUACUAAAAAAAUACAUCGAUUUUCAAAAUCGGAGAUAAAAUUGCUCUUUUUAAAAACGU
rnacentral:tRNA from 1 species